rnacentral:rRNA from 1 species
UACGUAGGGGGGCAAGCGUUGUCCGGAAUUAUUGGGCGUAAAGAGCUCGUAGGCGGUGUGUCGCGUCGGCCGUGAAAACCUGCAGCUUAACUGUGGGCUUGCGGUCGAUACGGGCAUCACUGGAGUUCGGCAGGGGAGACUGGAAUUCCUGGUGUAGCGGUGAAAUGCGCAGAUAUCAGGAGGAACACCGGUGGCGAAGGCGGUUCUCUGGGCCUUACCUGACGCUGAGGAGCGAAAGCGUGGGGAGCGAACAGG